AUGUCCAUCUGGGAUUCCAUGCACAGCUGGUUCAUCCCUACCGUCCUCUUCAUCAUCAUCAACGUCGUUAUCGGCACCAUUUCCUUCUCUUCCUCCCAAAAGGAAGAAAAGAACCCCAAACCCCAGCUCGCCCGCACCUCCUCCAUUUUAGAAAGGCUCAGAUCCUUCAAUCUCUACCGUUUGAAAGCGGAAGAAAUCCCUCCCGUUGGCGUGCCCCCCAUCGUUACCCCCAAAUGAUCAUCAUCACCCACCACCGGUUCCGUUAAUCCGGUUAGGGUUUCGGCGGCAGCAGCGUUGGGCGUGGUCAGAAAAUGAGCAGUAGGAAGGAAGAGGAGCAGAACGAGAAGAUUAUCAAAGGUUUGAUGAAACUUCCUCCGAAUCAGAGAUGCAUCAACUGCAAUAGCCUGGUAUCUGUAUAAGAGAGAUUUGCUUCUUGCAUCAGAGUUCAAUAUCAUGACUGAUUAUAUGCUGUCAGGUUUGUCAAUUCAAGAGUUCAAUAUCAUGUUGUUUAUCUAUUGUUUAUCUAUUUUCCAUUUCUUCUGAUACCUAUUGUUCGUGUUCAUAAGCUAUGCAGUUGUAGAUUAAGAAUACAUCACUUCAUGUCGGAAUCAUGGAGUUUUUGUUCAAAUUGUAGUUUGUUCUUUCCUAGAGGUUAGCCUGUCAAUGCUUCACGUAAUAUUAAAAAAUUUGUAGGAAAACCAUGGGUGAACUUUUCAUCAUUGUCAUCAUCAUCGUGGCCCCUCCUAGCUAUUUGUGGUUGACUUUUAAAUGGUAGAUUGCAGAAGUUUUAUAGUGAGCUGCCUACAAGAUAUCAACCUCCUCUUUUAUCAGGGAUCUCGAAAACGCCAAUGGAGAGGCUCAUAUUGAUACCACUUGCAUGCUAACAUCAUCCCACACAGUGCUGAUCUCUAACGUAACUAUUACACACAGACCCCCAGUGGGGGGACAGCAAAGUAGUGUCACAGGCGAACCUAUACUAUGGUCAUUUUAAUUUCUGUUCCUUGCAAGUGUUCUGCAAAUUGGAUGGUUUAGUGGAGGAGAUCCAAUCAUUGCAGCCACCAGUGGAUUUGUGGAGGAAGUUUGUAUAAUGUACUUCUCUAUCAGGUUACAGUCUUGGGACAGUAGAUCAUAUGCAACCGCAAGAUUUUGAACGAGUAGUCAGCCCAGUUUCUGUUGCACACUUCUCACAGUACAAGCUUACCAGAUUGCUGCUCAAGCAGCUAGAAAAACUAAACUUUCAUGUUUAUACCUGUGAUGGGUCACAAGUCCCAAAUAAAGGUUCCACAUGGGAAAGGGAGAUUUUGAUGGGUCAUGAAUGCAUAUCAAUUGAUCGCACUGCUCAGGGUGUCAUGGUAGGUGCUUCCUUUCUCAAGGGAAAAAGCUACAGAGAAACAUCCACUGCCAUAUCCUUGUUGGUUCAGAUGGUGCCAGAAUUAAUGUGAGAAAACUGGUCGGCAUAGAUAUGAAAGGCAAAAGGGACUUGCAGAAGCUUUUCAGUGUCCAUUUCUUAAGCAGAGAUCUUGGACAAUUCCUGCUGCAUCAGAGGCCUGGAAUGUUAUUCUUUAUAUUUAAUCCAGAAGCUAUAGGGGUUCGUGUUGCGCA